CCUUAAUCAGUAUUUUGCAGAUGCAGGUAUAUCGCACUUCUCAAUCAUUAUUUUGUGGAAGCAGGUAUAUUGAACCCCUUAAUCAGUAUUUUGUAAAAGCAGGUAAAUAGAACCUCUGAAUCAAUAUAUGCUGGAAUCAGGUAUAUCAAACCCCUUAAUCAAUAUUUUGUGGAAGCAGGUAUAUCAAACCCCUCAAUCAGUUUUUUGGGGGGCAACAGGUAUAUCACAC